rnacentral:lncRNA from 1 species
AAUGGUGUUUUCGAAUCUUCUUUAUUGAUAGAUUUGCAGGCAAAUUUGUCGCAAAGAACUCGAACAAAAUUAUUGGCACCGGAAAGAGGCAGCGAUAGAGCUCUCCUACAGAGACUCCUUCCCAAGAGGCUUCUCCACCACCAUAUCCACAUCCCACACCGUCCACAGCGAGCUGCAGCCUGGACUUAUGCUACUGAGGUCCACCACCAGAGCCAGCUCCAGCCAUAGCUUCAGUAUUGCCACCCCCAUACUUGGUCCAGAGGAUUUUUAGCUUACCAGAGGGGGCGAGUUUUUCCACCGAUACGGAGUGUAUCGGACUGGGGAAGUGGCACCUUAGGGGUACAUCCAGCUGCAGGACUUUGUGGAAAAGAGAUGGGACGGUUUGUUAAGACGAUACUACGAUCGAGUAGGUAUGUGGGACUUGUGAUGAACGGAUUUAUCCCACUUUCAAAUACCCACUAGAUUGCUCUAGUGGGAUCGUAAAUCUCCCUAGGGUCUUCCUAUCUUUAUUACUCAAGUUGAUGUACUAACUAAACCAAGUAACAAGUCAAAAUUGUUUUCAGUUUGUUUUAAGUAACCAAUUAACAACUAAGCAUGCAAUUAAAAGU